rnacentral:rRNA from 1 species
AUUGAACGCUGGCGGCAUGCCUUACACAUGCAAGUCGAACGGCAGCACGGGAGCAAUCCUGGUGGCGAGUGGCGAACGGGUGAGUAAUAUAUCGGAACGUGCCCAGUCGUGGGGGAUAACGUAGCGAAAGCUACGCUAAUACCGCAUACUAUCUAUGGAUGAAAGCGGGGGAUCGCAAGACCUCGCGCGAUUGGAGCGGCCGAUAUCAGAUUAGGUAGUUGGUGAGGUAAAGGCUCACCAAGCCGACGAUCUGUAGCUGGUCUGAGAGGACGACCAGCCACACUGGGACUGAGACACGGCCCAGACUCCUACGGGAGGCAGCAGUGGGGAAUUUUGGACAAUGGGCGCAAGCCUGAUCCAGCAAUGCCGCGUGCAGGAUGAAGGCCUC